ensembl:antisense Gm45060 predicted gene 45060
AAACAGCAUGUUCCUAUGCCUGAAAAGAGGAGAAGAUGUGUCCAGGAGGCUGGCAAGAUUUAAGCUUCUGUCCGAUGUCAAAGGGCCUUCUGCAAGCCAAGGAAGAUGGCAUAGAAAAGAAGAAAUAUGCACCCUAAGAGGUCUCGCUAAGAGACAAAAGAAGUCCAGCAGCCUAGCAUGUUGCUUUGGUCCUAUAGAAGGAAAGACACUUGAGUUGUAAAUAAGGUAUGAAGGAAUUAUCUCAGAGGCAGAAGCUUGAAGAAAAAAAAAAAAGAAAGAAAGAAAAAGAGAAAAGAGAAAGAAAAGAAGAAAAAGAAAAAGAAGAAGAAAGAGGGAAAAACAACCACCCAGGACUUUUGAGGGGAGACAGAGUCUUGCUAUGUAGCUAGACUGUUAUUCUUGGUCCCUUAGCCUCCUUGGUGCUGGGGUUCCAGGCACAAGACACCAUGUCCAGCUCUUUGUCUAGGUUGGUGAAAUAUACACGACAAGAAUCAAACAGAAGAAAUAUAAGAAAGCUACAGCAUUAGUGGGGAGGUUUUCAUUAAUUUGCAAUUGUUUUGUGUGAGUAUAUACUUUUCUAAAGAGAAAGUUCUCAAAUUUUCC